ensembl:lncRNA
AGGAAAUCAGUCAGCUGAGGAAGAAAGACUCUGAUUUAAAGGAGCUGGUGACAUGUCAGGACAAUAUCUACUUUCUCAAGACGUAUCAGUGUCUUUGCUCUCCGGAGCUCAGUGAGCUCGGCGAUUUCACGGUCAAUCUGGAUUCCACGUUUGAUCCUGUACAAACCAUCGUUUCGGAUCUCAGGGAGAAAGUGGAGAACACGUGCAACCAAGAGCUGGACAAAAUUAACAAGACAGUGUUCAACACAGCGCCGUUCACAGUGACUGAGCGACAGAGCGGACAGAAGCCGGCCAUUUUAAAAUUGUUUUCUGGAAUCGGAGCCAAAACAUCAAGCAGUCGCACACAAGGUAUCAUC